rnacentral:rRNA from 1 species
UACAGAGGUCUCAAGCGUUGUUCGGAUUCAUUGGGCGUAAAGGGCGCGUAGGCGGCGGGGUAAGUCGGGUGUGAAAUCUCAGGGCUCAACCCUGAAACUGCACUCGAUACUGCUCUGCUUGAGGACUGGAGAGGAGACUGGAAUUCACGGUGUAGCAGUGAAAUGCGUAGAGAUCGUGAGGAAGACCAGUGGCGAAGGCGGGUCUCUGGACAGUUCCUGACGCUGAGGCGCGAAGGCCAAGGGAGCAAACGGG